rnacentral:rRNA from 1 species
AUUGAACGCUGGCGGCAUGCUUUACACAUGCAAGUCGAACGGUAACAGGCCUUCGGGUGCUGACGAGUGGCGAACGGGUGAGUAAUGCAUCGGAACGUGCCCAAUCGUGGGGGAUAACGUAGCGAAAGUUACGCUAAUACCGCAUAAGCCCUGAGGGGGAAAGCAGGGGAUCGCAAGACCUUGCGCGAAUGGAGCGGCCGAUGUCAGAUUAGCUAGUUGGUGGGGGUAAAGGCCUACCAAGGCGACGAUCUGUAGCGGGUCUGAGAGGAUGAUCCGCCACACUGGGACUGGGACACGGCCCAGACUCCUACGGGAGGCAGCAGUGGGGAAUUUUGGACAAUGGGCGCAAGCCUGAUCCAGCCAUGCCGCGUGCGGGACGAAGGCCUCGGUUGUAACCGAC